GCACCGCUGGUGUAUGGAACACACACUGUCCUCUUAUUUAAGGCCAUCUUCCAAUAAAGCAGUGAGACGGGGUUCGAUUCCCCUGCGGUGCA